rnacentral:rRNA from 1 species
AACGAACGCUGGCGGCAUGCUUUACACAUGCAAGUCGAACGGUAACAGGUUAAGCUGACGAGUGGCGAACGGGUGAGUAAUGCAUCGGAACGUGCCCGAUCGUGGGGGAUAACGCAGCGAAAGCUGCGCUAUUACCGCAUACGAUCUAUGGAUGAAAGCGGGGGAUCGCAAGACCUCGUGCUUUAGGAGUGGCCGAUAACUGAUUAGCUAGUUGGUGGGGUAAAGGCUCACCAAGGCGACGAUCAGUAGCUGGUCUGAGAGGACGACCAGCCACACUGGGACUGAGUCACGGCCCAGACUCCUACGGGAGGCAGCAGUGGGGAAUUUUGGACAAUGGGGGCAACCCUGAUCCAGCAAUGCCGCGUGUGUGAAGAAGGCCUUCGGGUUGUAAAGCACUUUUGUUCGGGACGAAACGGUUUGGGCUAAUACCCUGAGCUAAUGACGGUACCGAAAGAAUAAGCACCGGCCAACUACGUGCCAGCCGCCGCCGUAA